rfam:Triticum aestivum genome assembly, contig: Triticum_aestivum_CS42_TGACv1_scaffold_514134_6BS
AGGAGCCGUGCGAGAUGAAAGUCUCAUGCACGGUUUUGCAUGAGAGAAAGAAGCCAGGAAUCCUCUUUUCAACUAUGAC